UACGAAGGGUGCAAGCGUUAAUCGGAAUUACUGGGCGUAAAGAGCUCGUAGGCGGUGUGUCACGUCGGCCGUGAAAACCUGCAGCUUAACUGUGGGCGUGCGGUCGAUACGGGCAUCACUGGAGUUCGGCAGGGGAGACUGGAAUUCCUGGUGUAGCGGUGAAAUGCGCAGAUAUCAGGAGGAACACCGGUGGCGAAGGCGGGUCUCUGGGCCGAUACUGACGCUGAGGAGCGAAAGCGUGGGGAGCAAACAGG
rnacentral:rRNA from 1 species